CAUAGGAGUUCAUUAGAAGAUGAAACAUUUUAUGAUGAAAAAUGCCAAAAUAAUUUUUAUUAAUUCAUAAUUCAUGUACAUAUACAAAAAUGAGCACAACCGUCAACAGGCUGAUAAUUGGCUUUGGGACACUAUUCCCAACAAUCUCUCACUUGGCCUAAAGCUAAUCGGUGCAGUAUCUAAUACCCAUCUUCGACUUGUAGUCGUCGAACUCCUUCACCGUAAUGGCUUUAGUGAAUGGGUCGGCC
rnacentral:lncRNA from 1 species